rnacentral:lncRNA from 1 species
UGCAUUAUGAUGAUUUGUAGGUGGAGGGCAAAAUUACUCAAAAAUCACAAUACUUAAAAGACAUGGUUUAUGGAAAAUUUUCCUGAACUGUUGUCAUGAUUAAGAUCACCUUUGUCAUCCAUUUUUUGGAAGAGAAAGUGACGUUUGAUUGUGGCAUACGGUUAAGUACACUCGAGCCAAGUACAGCCUAACAAAAAAAACUGAUGUUAAGUACAUGAUCCAGAUUUUCUGAUAAAGUUAAUCGCGUGGUGGAGCUAAUAUUUGUUUGAAGAAUUGAAGAAUGGUAUGAGAUUGCUAGAAUGGGAAAAACAGAGUGAAGGAGAUUAAAGAAAGGAUGAUUGAUUAAUUGAGUAAUUAGUGGGUGUUUGGGGGCAAAAAGAAAAGGAGGAGGUAAUAGUGCAGUGCAACAUUAGGAAGAGACCAAAUGCGAGAGUCGUAAGCAGUAUAACAGCGGAGAGUGCACAAACAUAGUUUGUGGAAAAAUUGACAGUUGCCACUUGACUAAGUGGAAAACUGGGUGGCCACUUCGUAGAAUUAGGUUGCGCACCAUGUCACCAUGCAUACACAUACGUACGGUGAGCCACCCGUAGAACCCAAGUUUGAAUUUCCACCAAACACUAUAAACCUAAUCAUUCUAACCCAUUCUCUCAGUUUAAAUCAAAUUAAUUAAUUAUUUUUUUCGAUGAUGUAAUCACCUAAACUGCUCC